ACACUCCUACGGGAGGCAGCAGUGGGGAAUAUUGCACAAUGGGCGCAAGCCUGAUGCAGCCAUGCCGCGUGUAUGAAGAAGGCCUUCGGGUUGUAAAGUACUUUCAGCGGGGAGGAAGGCGAUAAGGUUAAUAACCUUGUUGAUUGACGUUACCCGCAGAAGAAGCACCGGCUAACUCCGUGCCAGCAGCCGCGGUAAUACGGAGGGUGCAAGCGUUAAUCGGAAUUACUGGGCGUAAAGCGCACGCAGGCGGUCUGUCAAGUCGGAUGUGAAAUCCCCGGGCUCAACCUGGGAACUGCAUUCGAAACUGGCAGGCUAGAGUCUUGUAGAGGGGGGUAGAAUUCCAGGUGUAGCGGUGAAAUGCGUAGAGAUCUGGAGGAAUACCGGUGGCGAAGGCGGCCCCCUGGACAAAGACUGACGCUCAGGUGCGAAAGCGUGGGGAGCAAACAGGAUUAGAAACCCCGGUAGUCCCAUG
rnacentral:rRNA from 1 species